rnacentral:rRNA from 1 species
GGGGCCUUACCAUGCAAGUCGAGCGGAAACGAUGAUAGCUUGCUAUCAGGCGUCGAGCGGCGGACGGGUGAGUAAUACUUAGGAAUCUACCUAGUAGUGGGGGAUAGCUCGGGGAAACUCGAAUUAAUACCGCAUACGACCUACGGGAGAAAGGGGGCAACUUGUUGCUCUCGCUAUUAGAUGAGCCUAAGUCGGAUUAGCUAGAUGGUGGGGUAAAGGCCUACCAUGGCGACGAUCUGUAGCUGGUCUGAGAGGAUGAUCAGCCACACCGGGACUGAGACACGGCCCGGACUCCUACGGGAGGCAGCAGUGGGGAAUAUUGGACAAUGGGGGCAACCCUGAUCCAGCCAUGCCGCGUGUGUGAAGAAGGCCUUUUGGUUGUAAAGCACUUUAAGCAGUGAAGAAGACUCCAUGGUUAAUACCCAUGGACGAUGACAUUAGCUGCAGAAUAAGCACCGGCUAACUCUGUGCCAGCAGCCGCGGUAAUACAGAGGGUGCAAGCGUUAAUCGGAAUUACUGGGCGUAAAGCGAGCGUAGGUGGCUUGAUAAGUCAGAUGUGAAAUCCCCGGGCUUAACCUGGGAACUGCAUCUGAUACUGUUAGGCUAGAAUAGGUGAGAGGAAGGUAGAAUUCCAGGUGUAGCGGUGAAAUGCGUAGAGAUCUGGAGGAAUACCGAUGGCGAAGGCAGCCUUCUGGCAUCAUAUUGACACUGAGGUUCGAAAGCGUGGGUAGCAAACAGGAUUAGAUACCCUGGUAGUCCACGCCGUAAACGAUGUCUACUAGUCGUUGGGUCCCUUGAGGACUUAGUGACGCAGCUAACGCAAUAAGUAGACCGCCUGGGGAGUACGGCCGCAAGGUUAAAACUCAAAU